UACGAAGGGUGCAAGCGUUACUCGGAAUUACUGGGCGUAAAGGGUGCGUAGGUGGUUGUUUAAGUCUGCUGUGAAAGCCCCGGGCUCAACCUGGGAAUGGCAGUGGAUACUGGACAGCUAGAGUGCGGUAGGGGGUAGUGGAAUUCCCGGUGUAGCAGUGAAAUGCGUAGAGAUCGGGAGGAACACCAGUGGCGAAGGCGGCUACCUGGACCAGCACUGACACUGAAGCACGAAAGCGUGGGGAGCAAACAGG
rnacentral:rRNA from 1 species